rnacentral:rRNA from 1 species
AGUCUAUACCAUACCACCCUAAAUGCACCUGAUCGCCUCCGAUCUCUGAAGCUAAGCAGAAUCAGCCAGGUUAGUACUUGGAUGGGAGACAAUAUUUACAAAGGAUGUGAUGCAGUGUA